GAUGAAGAACGUAGCGAAAUGCGAUAAGUAAUGCGAAUUGCAGAAUUUCCGUGAGUCAUCGAAUCUUUGAACGCACAUUGCGCCCGCCAGUAUUCUGGCGGGCAUGCCUGUUCGAGCGUCAUUACAACCCUCAGGCCCCCGGGCCUGGCGUUGGGGAUCGGCAGAAGCCCCCUGUGGGCACACGCCGUCCCUCAAAUACAGUGGCGGUCCCGCCGCAGCUUCCAUUGCGUAGUAGCUAACACCUCGCAACUGGAGAGCGGCGCGGCCAUGCCGUAAAACACCCAACUUCUGAAUGUUGACCUCGAAUCAGGUAGGAAUACCCGCUGAACUUAAGCAUAUCAAUAAGCGGAGGA
rnacentral:misc_RNA from 1 species